GCUGGGCAUGGUGGUGCGUGCCUGUAGUCCCAGCUACUUGGGAGGCUGAGGUGGGAGGAUCGCUUGAGCCCAGGAGCUCUGGGCUAUAGUGCACUAUGCCUAGCAGGUGUCUGCACUAAGUUUGGAAUCAAUAUGGUGACCUCCCAGGAGCGGAGGACCACCAGGUUGCCCAAGGAGGGGUGAACCGACCCAGGUCAAAAACGGAGCAGGUCAAAACUCCCAUGCUGAUCAGUAGUGGGAUUGCACUUGUGAAUUGCCACUGCACUCCAGCCUGGGCAACAUAGCAAGACCCCGUUUCU
rnacentral:SRP_RNA from 1 species